UAAAAUAGACUCCUUUCGCUUUUUAUCCCAAAUCAUAGAGAUGCGCUUUAAAUAUGCAACAGUUUUGUCCGAGAUUUAUCGACCUAUAUCCAUGUUCAAAGUGUCCUGGAACAAAGCUUAACUGUCAGUCACAGGACUGCCAAAAAUGUCUGUCCAGUUCCAUUAGGAUUUUCCUGCAAAAAGAACCACGAAAAGUAAUCUCCCGAGUUUGUCUGCUUCUCACAUUGUAUGAUCUGUCGUUUUAGCACACGCUGGUAAACGGGAUAGCAGCUACUGUCCGCUCCUGGCUCGCGUGCCGAAAGGUGCACAGUUUCGUCUCGAGGGUAUAAACCGAUGGGGAAACUCCAGCAGUUUGUCGCUUCCUCUGCGAUUAAUGACGCGUCUUGUUUAGCCUUGGAUCUUGUUCGGAGUUGUUCAGCGCUCAGCCGUGGAACCGGUGCGUCCGCAGUCAGUCCCGCACACCGUUCACAGCGCAGUGACUCGCGAUCCAUCACCUCCACUCCCACCGAGCUGCUAAAUCCCGCCCUAUUCCGAAACGGACCAAUCAAAGCGCACGUUUAGGGCGAAGUCGCAACAUGGUGUCCCUCUCUGUACAACGAGUUUCAGAGAAGUUCAGCUGGGAGACUAAUGCAUUUACAAAAACCUAUAGUGAGUCUUGACUCUCUUGUUGAAGUUAAGACGUUCAGAGGGGUUUAAGAUACUAACUAUCUUUAAGUUGUUUACAGACUAAGUUAUGCCGCAAGUUAGUUUUUCCCCUAGACAGCGUGUAACUGAGCGGACUGCUUGUUACUAUGGCUACUCCGUACGUUUAUCCCUUAGGUUGUAUUUUUGUUUCCCCUCUCGGUUAGCUUGUAAUUUUCUGGAGUCAUUUUCAGGAGUCAUUUGAAUACAAGCAGGGGACAGAUGUCACCGAUUGAGCUGGCCCCCCUCCCACUGCCCCGCCUCUUCCCUCCCCUAUCAAAGGCCUGGGAGUGCCGGAGUACACAUCAAUCAUUCUGAGUGACAGGUUCUGUUCAGAUUCAGAGCCUAGAUGCAGUGGUAGCAAACGAUGGCACGUGGCACGUGUCAUUCAUUGGGGACACAAGUCUGCGUCUGGCCUGUGUCAUUUCCUGAUCCCAUUUCCUCCAUUCUUUUCUUUCUACUUUCUUGUCGUCUCCUGUUCUGUCCAUUAAAGAUAUAAAAAAGGCGUAAAAUGUCUGUAAAUAAAAGCACAGGUUCAGUAGCAGUCCAGCGGCUGUAUAUCCCAUCAGACAUCAGUGAUGAGCCACUGGGCACAGCUGGUAGUCAGACUGAUGUCACACUCAAGGGGGUAGCACUUUAUUUUACAGUCCUGUUUCUCAUGUACAUACUAUGUACUUAUUAUAGUAAUUACAAUAAUUAUUUAAUAACUAGGUACUAACCCUGAACCUACCCCUAAACCUAAGCCUACCCCAUGUAGUUACCUUGUAUUACCAGAACUUUCUUAGAUAAAUACACUGUAAGUUCACUAUAAGUACAUUAGAUGAAACUAAAGCAACCUUUUGAUCGCCGAAAACCUGUUGUACAUUUUCAAUGAAGAGUCUCCCUGAACUUUAACUAUUUCUGCCAUAUAUUGGUAUAUGGAAAAAAUAUAUAUACAUAUAUAUAUUAAAAGUAGUGUGCUAGUACGCGAUUCCGAAUCUGUUUGUCUCAAAUUACAAUGCACUCUCGAUUUUUAUUUUAUAUUUAAGAGAAGUGAUAAUCCCGGGGGAGCGUGAGACCCUGAGCACCCCGGCCCAGGGAUCUGCGCUUCUCUUAAAAUGAUGUUGAAAACAACACGACCUGUGUUGAGGACAACACAUUUUGUGUUACUUUUAACUCAACAAGGUGUUAUUUCUGCUAAUUUUCUACACACCAAUGUGUUAUCAUUACACAAUUUGUCAAUUACUUACACGAAAUGACAAACUGUGUUAAAAUAGUCAAAUGAACACAUCCUUUUUGAAAUGAAGACGUUACAUAACGUACUCGAAUGUCGAAGUCAAUCAACUUUUUAACCGUUACCUUGAUAAAUCAUAUUAUUAUUUAAGGGCAUUUAACUACACAUUAAUAAAUUCUGUUGUUUAAUGAAAGAGAGGCGACAGAUAGCAAUGGUUAACGUUACCACUUUGUCAAACCUGUUAACGAGCUGCAGCGUUUUAUCAGACAUCAAGCCAUUUGCAACAAAUCAAAGAAAAACAAUACUCGUUAAAAACGAGUUCCCUCCAGAGAGUGAGGGACAAACUUAACAAAGUGCGUGAGGAGAAUUAAAACUAAUUUGUGAAGCACUAACGUUAACUAUCAGACGCGGUUGCUGCCUUGUUCAACACUGGCUCUCGGGGCAAACGGAAAAUACCCGCACACAGUAGAGGUCGCUAACUAAAUGCACAUUUGCCCGUCUAAAAAACAACAAUAAAAUACAUUUGACAACUUAUAUUUGCGGUUUCUAAUAAAAAAUAAACCGAAAUACCUGACGUGUGCAUCCAAGUCGUCCAUCGAUGGAAAAAGAGGCGCGAACUUGCUUCUUGAGGCGGGAGUGAUGUUGCAGCAAUGUGAUUGGAUGAUAGUUAACACAUAUUGUGUUGGACACACUGUGUUGUUUCUCUCUCUUACUAUCCUUUUCUUUUUACACAUGAUCAACUUAAAAUGACACAAAAUGUGUUAAAAUAGCCAUAACACAAAAAAUGUGUUAUUAAUUAACACAUCCUUUUUGAGAGUGUACACGUACUGUAAAAUAAAGUGCAACCCUCAAGGGUUUUUAAUACAUCACAAAUUAUAAAUACUAAUGAUAAAUUCAAAGAGUUCUCCAUCUUGCAACUUUGAAGUUAUUUGUUUUGUUUGUUUUUUAUUGAAAAAAAGUUGUAUAGAGUUCACAUAUUUAGAUUUAUCCAUUCUCUAUAUUAAUAGUCUGUAUGCUCUGUAUAUUUCAUACACAUCAUGAGGGCAACUCUCCAAACACUACAGUUCAAAGCCAGAUAUCAUGAGACAGGCUAAUUCAUUUGACACUAACUACUAAGAAAACUUCCAAAUGACCUAAUAGGACGCUGUGGCAUGUGAAGUGUAACACACAUCUGGAAUCAAAAUCCGUUUUUAAUCAAAUUAGAUUAUAUUUAGUGAAAAAACAGACAUGUUUUUCUGUCUGAAAUACGACUGGUGUUGGCACACUGAUUAAAUUCUCAUGCAGUUCAAGUUCCUCUGCUGUUUAUUUUAAAAACAUAUUUAUAUAUACAUAAUUCAAGGUCCUCGUGGCUGAAGAGAGAUUUUAGUACAAUAUAUGCCUAAAUGAAUUUGAUCAUUGAUAACAUCUAAUUCACUCUCCAUGAUCCCUUUUCAUUUCAGUAGAUGUGAUUAUAUUAGGCAGCUAGAAAGACUAUGAAAGUUAUUAGGAGGUAUAAAGUAACACAAAACUUUUCAUUGUUUCUGUGAAACUCCUAACCCUUUUUUCUUUGGGAUCUGAGAGAGGCCAUUUAAUAACUCAAAAAUACAUUUACUAUUGAAGUUUCAGGUUGAGACGUUUUUUCAACUUUUUCAAAAAACACAUACACACUAGAGUCUUAAAGACCAUAUAAAAAGCUGAAGAAAUGCUCAGGUUUUUUGGUUGUUGCACACUCAGUAGAAGCACACUCCUUCCAGUGCUUUGCCUAAACUACUAAACGUCAUCUGUCACAUGUCUGCUGCAAUCUUUGCACUUAGAUGAGUGAUAAGGCACUGAUAAGACUAAUGAGGUAAUGGAGAGGCAGCUGUAAUAUUCUAUUCUACAACAAUAUGAGUUUCAUUUGACUAUUUGGUGUGCCUGUAAAUAGAUAGGUGUGUCUUAUGAAAUAUUUAGUUUAAAUUAAUGUCAACACACAUACUAUAUAAAAGCUUAAGAUACUACAUGGAUUUAAUAUUUACAUUACAGAAUGAAAUUAAUAUAAUUCAUUCAGUGCAAAUGAAAACCUUUAAUAUAAUUGAAGUAAAAAAUAAACUGAAAUAAUGGACUAUAAAAUACAAAAAUGAAUAAUUGUUUUAGUAUUCAUUGAGCACUCAUGGUUGAAUAAUCUGACCUGUGUGUGUGGGAGAAGACAUCCCACAGGCCAUAUGGUCUUUAAGGACAGUGAUACUGAUGAAAUGCCAGUGUCUAGAAGGCAACAGCAAAGCACUUUUGACUCUGUUUUAAAAGGUGGUCCUUUGUUUGAUUCAUUUUUAGACUGUUUUGUGUGUUAGUAUGAGAGCACAGUCACACUGAGAAAAAGUACUGUACGUUUUGUGAACAUUAAACUGUUUCCUCUUGCUUUUGUGGCCUUUAAAAGUUCUGAAGGGAUUCUUUGUAAAUGAAAUGGAGCCCCAGUGUCGUAGGCUUUAGGAAUGUUUAGGAAUGUCUUGUUUUAUGUUAGCUGUGCAGGAGUGUGUGUGUGUGU